UGAGACGGUGAUGGGAAAGAUGUUGGUUGUCAAGUGGAAUCUCAGCAGUCAUUUUCAGACAAAGUUAGAGAAAACAAGUAUGGAAGAUGCCUGAUUCUCAAAGAGUCAUCCAGUCUUGGGAUUACCGCCUACGUCCAUGGAAGUGAAAGUCCUCUUUUUCUUUGUACCACUUACUGAGGCUGAAGAGGAAGAGGAAGAGCAGGUGUUGGUCUUGAUGUCUCAGGGCAGGCAGAGGUGGAAGAGAAUCUGUGUGUAAAGCACCUGCACAGUUCAAACCCAUGCUGUUCGAGGGUCAACUGCAUUCUUGAAAAUUGCUAAAAGACUCCAUUGUAAGUGUUGUCACCACAAAAAAUAGUAAGCAUGUAAUGUCAUGCAUAUGUUAAAUCAGCUAUCAAAUGAAAAGACGAGAAAACAGCUUCUAUCACCAUGACAGCCACCUGGACACACCUAUCUCUGUUGGCAAGGGGGAGCAUUUGGAAAAUG
rnacentral:lncRNA from 10 species